rnacentral:rRNA from 1 species
GAGUUUGAUCGUGGCUCAGAUUGAACGCUGGCGGCAGGCCUAACACAUGCAAGUCGAGCGGUAGAGAGAAGCUUGCUUCUCUUGAGAGCGGCGGACGGGUGAGUAAUGCCUAGGAAUCUGCCUGGUAGUGGGGGAUAACGCUCGGAAACGGACGCUAAUACCGCAUACGUCCUACGGGAGAAAGCAGGGGACCUUCGGGCCUUGCGCUAUCAGAUGAGCCUAGGUCGGAUUAGCUAGUUGGUGAGGUAAUGGCUCACCAAGGCGACGAUCCGUAACUGGUCUGAGAGGAUGAUCAGUCACACUGGAACUGAGACACGGUCCAGACUCUACGGGAGGCAGCAGUGGGGAAUAUUGGACAAUGGCGAAAGCCUGAUCCAGCCAUGCCGCGUGUGUGAAGAAGGUCUUUCGGGAUUGUAAAGCUACUUUAAGUUGGGAGGAAGGGCAGUAAAUUAAUACUUUG